GUCCUGAUAAUUCAGUGGUGAAGAAGACGGACGUGGUCCCUGCUCUUGUGGCUCAGGGAGGCUAGGUGGCCAGUACUUUGAGCAGCACAACAUGGUGGCCACCUUGCCUGGAAGGAGAGAUGACCUAAGAGUUUUGGACCCAUGUCAGAAUCUUCGUAAAUCUCUGGAAACUUUCACGAGUAUGUGUACAUGGAAGAAUCUGUCAACAAUUCAUAGAAGUCCAUGGACUCUCCAUCUUCACCUCCCUGGCUCUAGGGGAGGGCCCUGAGAACGAUGGCCCUCCAUCUUCCAGUAACUCCUCAUCCAGUCCUACCCUAAAUCAGGAGAUCUGGGUUUACAUCCCCCUCCACUGCUCGCUGUAAGUUGAAUGGAGAUAAUGGUAUCUCUGCCAUUAGAAAGCAGGGCUCAAACCGGAUGACU